CUCCAACCCGGACCCCAGAAUGAACAGACAUGGUGCAGAUCUGAGCUGAACUCACAGCGAGAAACCGAGCACAGAGGGUCCCAUGGAGUGAAAUGGGGCCACCAGGUCAAGGCCACCCUAGAUCAGCUGAUUGGCAUCCAUGCUGCUGACCUAUGACCCUGAGAAUCAGUGCUUAUUCUGUAUCCAUCUUAAUUUGGGGAUGAUUUGUUUCCAAGCAUUGAUGAGGAAACAGCUGUCUAUGCAGCCACGAUUCUUACACCUCGUCGCCAGUGCCCCCUGCACUGCCCACCGGGUACUGAGUGAGGGGAAAGGAAGAGGUGGAGUUUAUUGACGGAAUUCAGGUUGUGGCUACAGAGUGGAAAGGUGCCUGUUGGACCAGUGAGAGGUCUCUGGGGAGUGGAAAGGUGAACUCGUGGCCAGAAAAGUGGUCUCUAGUCCAUUUGUGGUUGCUUGCCACUCUCCACAGGCUGAUUAGGAACAAAUAGAAAUUCCUAAAAGGAUUCCUGGAAUCCCUGGGUGUGGUUCCACAGGUGAAAUACGCUAGGAAGGAAUUUUCCCCAGGUGAGGGGGUGUAGCUCAUGGGUAGAGCAUUGGACUGCAGAUCAAGAGUUCCCCGGGUCAAAUCUUUCUUAGGGUCUGUGGCCUUUUAAGAAGGCCUCCUAUGUCCUUACUGUGAGAUGAAAGUCGGCCAGGGAACCAGGCACAUGCAGAGCUGGGCUCUGGCGCCGUGGGGCAGAGGUAAACAGAGAUGUCUGACCACACACCAGGGCCCCUUGCUCCCAGGCUGGGGGCCCCCAAGCAGCCUGUAUGCCUCGUUAGCGCCCUCGGUGGUGCUGCCCCAAGGAUUCCGGGGCUGCUGCCUCUCGGGUGCUGUCUCCCCUGGGAGAACAGUGUGAGAUGUGAAGCCAGGAGGAAAGCCAGGUGGGAGGAGGCUGGGGAGGAGGAGACAGUGUAGGUGGAGCUGAGGGAGGAGGGGAGCAAGGAUCAGGGCGCCCGGCUUCCAGCUCUAACAGCCCAGUUCAGGCUAUGGCUACACAGGAGAGUGCCUGGUAGACAAGUGAGGGGCCUCUGAGGAAUGACGAGGCGAACUCAUGGCCAGUGAGUGGUCUCCAGUCAGUGUGUGGUGGCUUUGCCCGUUCCAGAGGUGGCCCAAGUAGGACUAGAACUUAGAGUCCACUAUGGAAUCUGGGGCAUGGCAACACAGGUGAAAUAAUGUCAGGAGGGGCCCCCAGCAGGCCAGGGGGCAUGGCUCAAGGGUAGAGCACUAGGCUACAGGUCCAGAUGUCCCCAGUUCAACCCUGGCUGUGUUUUUUUGUAUUGCCACAUACAGGAAAGGAAUAGGAAUGUUUCGAAGUGAACACAGAGGCCAAAGGGAGAGAAAGCCUGGAGGGAGACCACCAAGUGGCUAGUGACUAGCUGAACUUUUCUCCUAGGAAGAAAUUUGAUUCUAAGCUAUAAAUUUGGAUGUAUAGGUGUCAAAAUAUUAACAUUUGUUUAGCUGAUGACAUUACAGUGACCAUAAAUCUCCCUCAUUCCCCGUUCAUCACUUUUCCAUGGAUUGCAUCUUCUCUUCAGGAUACUUCUUCCGUCUGUCAUAUGGAAAGAUGAAGCAAAAGGAGAAAAUGGGGGAAGAAGAGGAGAAAUAAAGGGGGCAGCUCCUCUCCUCUCCUGCCCAGAGUGUUUAGUGCAAAGAGGCCUCAAUCAUAAACGUGGAUUCUAGUCAUGAACCUGGUCAUUAAUCAGGUGUGUUUUGUUUGGGCAUGAUUUUAAUUACUGUCACUUUUUCAGAUCUAUACCAUGAAGGGCACAGAUUAAAUUAAUACCUCCAAAACUGUCUGUGAGUCAAAAUCACCAGGAGCUUGUUAGAAGCAUGCAUUGUCCCUGUCACCUUCCCAGAGAGUCUGGCUUAGGGGUUCUCAGGUGGGGCCCAAGAACUUUCACUUUUCCCAGCCCUGCCCACCCCCUCCUCACCUCAAAGGGUCUGUUGAGCAGCCAGUUCUGAGUCCUGCUCUUCUAGGUGAGUCUGAAGAAUGUUCUAGCUGCAAACCUUCAUGAUUUCAAUGACAGGCCUUCACCCGGGGCUGAGGGAAGGAAGGAUGCUGGUUAUAAGUAGAGGUGGCAGUCAAGUGUGUACAGAUCCGGGGAUAGGGGCUGGCAUAGUAGAAAGGACAUCAAUUUGCAGGGGUGUGUGAUGGCAGAGCACUAGCAAGAACACAUCUCAAGAUGGUGCCAGCCAGGGUGUGGCUCUACAGGUUUAGGGUGUUUAUUAGACACAAGUGAGCAGGUGGGGGUAUAGCUCAGGGGUAGAGCAUUUGACUGCAGAUCAAGAGGUCCCUGGUUCAAAUCCAGGUGCCCCCUAACAUGUCUGCUUUUAUCCCCUAUAACAGCUGUUGCCCCCCCAACAUUGAACCCUCUAUGAGGAGGGAAGAGAGAAGAGGUGGGCCAGGACCUGAGGGGUUCACUCUGUGUUUCUCACAGACCCAAGUGAACUCCAUCACCCAACCCCAGUGUGAUAGUCAGCCCCUCUCUUUUGGCUUCAAGUGGAAAUAUGUAUUAUUCUUUGACUUCCCAGCACCCGAACCUUCUUCGUUUAUUUCAGCAAUCCCAAAUAGUGUGAGUCUCUGGAAAGCACAGCUCUGCAACCUGCUAUACCAAACAAAUGUGCCAAAUACUGCUGCCCCAUGACUGCUGGCCAAGGGCCCAGCUCAGACUUGUGGAGUGAGCGAAAUACAGAAGCAGGAGACCGACUGUACUUCAUUUCAGGGAGGCAGAGCUCCAGCCUCUGAUGCAGGGCUGGUGGCUCAUCCAGUGUCCAGCGGGGGCAGCAGAGGCUCCUGCCCUGGCUGUGAUUCUGGCCAUGGGCUCUCCCACCCUCCCUCCGGUGCCAUGGGCUCCUGAUGGCCUGUCAGCCGUGGUCCCAUCUGUUUCUGUUAGACAGAGGCAGGUAGUCACAUGCACACACCUGUGUGCUGUGGCUAGUAUAGUAAUUGCUACCAGGAGUGAAUUGCAAGCAAGAGCUCCUCAUAGAAAUGGGAGUGUGUGGGAGGUGGGGUUAAUUGUCAGACCUAGUUUUACUAAGUCAGUAGAAGUCCAGGUCGCCCUUCCUCGAUGGGAGUCUAGCAGACCAGGGUUCCUGGAAGCUAAAUAAAUUGCUGCCUGUGGUCAGCUGAAAUGGAGUGCCCAGUGAGAGCAAGACGGCCGGUUACUGCUGCCUUAAGACGGGAUGAGAAGCUGCAGGGGCGGGGGCUGAUUCUAACACACCAGAAAUGACUAGAUCAAAGUCCAGCUUCUUCAUUCAAUGCACAGUAGGGCACACGGGGCUUUCAAUGACCGUGCUGAGAGAAUCUAAGGCACCAUGCGACAAAACGUAAUGCCAGAGGCAAAAUGUGAUCCUGCAGUUGCUAAAUUCAGUGCCUCCCUGGUCUCUUGCAUGAAAGUUGGGGUAUUUCUCAGAGAACAGUACUCCAAAAGUUGUACAGGAGAUUUAUGAGAGGAAGUGGAGAAAUCAAUACGAAGAUCCAAACAAAUGCCAAAGGCCACCAGAUCCCCAUUGCAGCUGAAGCAGCCUCUCUCAUCACGACAGACAGAGCUGCUCACAGUGUCCCUCACCCUGGCCCCACCCGCCAAAUGCAGAAGCUGCCCACUCGUGAUAACUGAAAACACCUAGGGGUCUUUCCAACCUAUCAUAAUCCUUGUGCUACAGAUUGAAAUCCACCCGGCCUGUGGCUCCCAGAGGGGACAGUGCGGGGCCUCCUGCAGAUCUGUCUUUGUAUGGGAGAUGUGGGUGUGUUCGGACUUCUCUGGGCCGCGGCUCAGCCCGCAGAGGGAGACGGUCCCCAUCCCAGGUCAGAAGCCCCUUUGGGUUUUGGUUCCCAAACAGGCAGCUUUAAGCCCAAUCCCUGCCCCUCCAGUUGUGCUGACCCCUGAUAUGAGGCAUCAGGGGUCAGUGCACCUACCUUGAUGCCUUGAUGAUCCAGGCAGGUGGGGCUGCUCACCGGGAGGAUGGCUUCAGCCUUUCUGGCCAAAUGCCUCCCCUGGUCUCAGCUCACAGAUUUGGCCUUGGGAUGAAGAGGAGGAAAAGGUAGAAGAUGGAAAAGAAAGCAAAGUCCAGGCUGUGGUCUAAAGGAUGAGGGUGGGGAGAACUGGGGAGAUUUUAGAACAAACAGGCUGGGGAGGAAGUGGAGGAAGGAAAGAAGCGGAGGGGAGGGGUCCAGUGAGAAGAAAGCGCACCAGCCAGAGACAGGAGAAGGGAAGGUGCCGGGCAGGGCAAAGGAGGCCUCUGGUCACUCACAUGAGGGGUCAGUGGGAAAGGGGAGAGAGCUUAUGACUAGGAGAGGGUGAGUCAGGCAGGACAUGGGGCUGACCAGGGAUAAACAGAAAUGAAUGGGUUAUGGAGGGUCUCUCCCUGGGGAGGUCACCACCAUGAAAUGGUAUCAAUUAGGAGACAGUUUGAAGUGGACUCCUGGCUCAGGGGAAGAGAGCUGACUGUUGGUCAAGAGGUGCGUGGUUCAGAUUCCCAUGCCCCUGUGAGCUUAUCUCAUUUAGUACUAGAUGUAGGGUGGAAAUCAUUCUGGUCAUUUCCGGGGAAGAUCUGUCUCAUCUGACCCAGUGAGGGCUCAGCUAUGGGAAGCAGGUAAAGGCAGUAGGCCAGUUCGUGUCUUGCCCCAAUGUUGCGGGGGUGGAAGGAACCCAAGACCAGCCAUGUGGGAUCUGGUCCAAACCCUAUUAUUAAUCAGGUGUGCUUGGGCAUGUUUCUUAAUUAUGGCCUCUUUUCAAGCCUACAACAUGGAGCACCAAACUAAAUCAGUGGUUCCUAAUUCUGACAUUCCAUGGGGAUCAUCCAGUGAGCUUCUUAAAAAUAGUCUCUUGGCCCCCCUCCCAAGUAUUCUGAUUCGGGAGGUCUGACAGGAAUCCUAUGAACUUUAUUUCCGUGGAAACUCACUCCCUGCUCUCACCACCUCACACACCAGAUGCUGUGAUGGGCAGCCCAGCUGGGGAACCAUGGCUUCAAUUUAGUCCAAAGGCCUUCCACUGACACAGCCAUAGCUUUUACACAGAUGUCCUUGGCUGUGGAUUGUUGGGGGUAGGCAGAGGAUUGUGCAGAAGGCGAUGGUGAGCAGGAAUGCCGUCCGUCUUCAGUAGAGCAGGUCUUGUGGAUUGACUAGACGUAGCUCAGUGUUCUGAAGGAGUUUCAGGUGUAAUCACAGAGGUCAGAGGUCUUCAUUAGACAAUCAUAAUGAGAUGAGCUUUUAAGGACAGAUGCUCCUUACCUGUUCUUAUUCUUACCCACUGAUUUUCCAGCUUCCUUUUCCUCUCUGGAACCCAUGAUUCUGCACUGAGGAGAGAGAGAAAAGAGGUGAGGAGGAUCAGGCCAGCCCUCUGGGAAGCCCCAGGUGACUUCCUCCACCACCUUCUCCACUCUCUCACUCCUUGACGUUAGUCCUACAAAGCCAACCAGAAUCCUGCUCUUCCCCAGGCCCUCGUCAGGGCAGGGCUGGAUGUGGCUCUGUGAGUCUGGAGUAGGCCCCUGUGGGACCUCUAGGACCUGAGGGCAUGGAGCCUUAGGCUAGGGCCCCUGACCCACAGCCCAGCAUGCUGAGCUCAGGAAGCUAGGCAGCUACUCCACUGUAGGGGUACAUGAUACUCCUGUUGCUUCAACUACUCCAGUGUUAUGUAGCCCAUGUGGGGUGCUUGGAGCAAACAGCAGGAGAUGGAGACAUACUCAGCCCUCUCUCUGGGAAUCAAAUGGAUCUGAGAUUCGAGCUCCUGUAAACAGGGAAAUCUCAGGCUGGAGCUGAGUGAGACCCACGAGGACUGGGGGCAGGGAUCUGUGCCUUGUAAACUUCAAUGUGGUACAAUUCACCUGAGGGAGCGUCUCUAAAUGCAGAAUGUGUCUGCACUUUCUGAGGAGUUGUGGGUCAAAGAGCUUGAUCUGCUUCAUCUUCUUCCUGUGUCGUGGCCUGGGGGAACCGGUGAUACAGCACCCACUUGGGGAUUAAGUGGACUAAAAGUGAGGCAAAGCAGGGGGCACCCGGAUUUGAACCGGGGACCUCUUGAUCUGCAGUCAAAUGCUCUACCCCUGAGCUAUACCCCCUGACCUGGAAGGGGGGGCAUAAUUAACACCUUUUACCUGUGUUGACACACCAGGACUCAGUCUUGCUGGUUGGGACGUCCUGGCCUGUUCUACUUCUCUGAGCUCUGUCCUCUCUCCUGCUGUGAACCAGCCCUGCCUCUUCCCCUGUCUCUUCUAUGUGCACCUGACUGAGGACCCCCUGGUAGCCUUCUUGACCUUUACAGGUAGGGAGAUCUUUAAAAUCAUCCAGAUAAUGCUCUUCAACAAUAGCAGAUAUUGAGCAUCUACUGUAUGUCGAGCACACUGGGACGGUGACAUAACUGUGACUGACCAGUGGCCGUGCCUUCCCUUGUGCUGAAAGAAGGUUCAGAGCUCACAUCUGAAGAUUAUUUGAUGAGAUAGAAUCAUGUUCAUGAUAAUUCAUCAAGUGAAAAGGAAGAUGACAAAACAGUGUGCCUGGGAGGGAUUAUAGAUGAUUUCAGCUUUUUAAUGUGCUCUUAUUUAUCUUUCAACUUUUCCAUCUUGGGCAUUUGUAAAAAAAAGAAAGCCUUGUAAAAAAAAAAAAAAAAAAAGCCUUUUUUUGUAAAAAGGCUUUUGUAAGAAAAAAUGAUGCUUAAGAAAAAUUAUACCCUAGAAGAGAUCCACUUCUAGGAAUGUAUCCUUCAGAAAUACUCAUAUGAGUUCACGAAGACACGUGUAUGUGGAGGCUCAUUGUAGCCAUUUUUUUUGUGUUAGCAAUAAACUGGAAAGCACCUAAAUAUCCAUGGACAGGGACUAGGUGACAAACAUGAUGGUACAGUCAUUGCACGGGAUAUGGUACAACAGUAAAAGGUAAAAUAGGUCCAGAGUCCUCGCAUGGAAAGACGCUUAAACAAUACCAUUAAGUGAAAAAAAUAAAUUGCGUGACAUUCAUAUGGUGUAAGCUCAUUUGGGCUUUUAAAAAGAUACGACAUAUACAUAUUAUUAUAUAUAUACACACAUUCAAAGAUAUUUAUAUAUAACCAUAUCUUUAUACAUGUGUACGAGUAUAUAUAUAAAUUCUCUUACGGAAGGAAAUAAGCCAAAUAGUUACUCCCAGGGCAUGGGUUGGGGGUUCUUUUAUUUUCCAGUUUAUACUGGAAAAGUGUCUACACUGUGUCCAGGUGUCUACAGUUACUGAGUGGUUAAAAAUGAGUGAGAGAAAGCACUACACGUAGCCUCCAGGAAGUCUUCCUGCCUUCCAGCCACAGUCAUCGUGAUUCCACCCUCUUCCUCAGAUCCCAAACAGGCAGCUCCCAAUCCGGAACCCCCCUGGCCUUUCUUUCAUCCCUUGCCUCUGCCGCGUGAGUUUCAGGCAAUUCUCAUUUCUGCUGGUUCUCAGCCCCCUCCCCUCUGAUGUUGUCACUUUGAGGUUUCACACGCCGGUUGUCCACAGUACACCCAGCUAGAUGGCAUGAUGUCCUUGGUUGGUCUGAGGGCAAAGGACACCCAUGCAGUGGGCCAGGGGCAAUCCCCUGCCUGUGACUUAUAGCCAGCACCACCCAGGCCCUGAGGCACCUCACCCCUGUCCCCUCAGCCACACCUGAGGUGAGUCAUACUCCUGCCCUCUUCCACGCCUGCCUUCUCCACCCUGACCUCCUAUGGGUUCCCCAGAAGCCUCUGUCUCUGAGGAACUGGUGCCAACGGUGGAGUAGGGCACACCUGAGGAGCACACAGACUGUGGGAGUCUGUGAAAAUAGUGGGAGGCACGCUCACCUCAAGCCAGCUGAGGCUCGCAAUAAAGUCGAAGCGAUGAUGACAGCUUUUAAAGGCAGAGGGGGGUUUUUAUAUUCCUACUUGGAGCAAGACAAUCAAGGAAAGGAUAGGCCCCCGCUCAGCACGCAAUCAUACACACGGCAGGAGAACUGACAAGCCCCCUUCCCUUAAGAGGGAGAUGGCCGGACUGGGUUGUGGGGGGAGUCCCGAGAAAGAGGCGAGCUCAGUGGAGGAGGAAACCGAAGUCCCCUAUGCCUGAAAUGGACCUACAGACCCCCAGCACUAGCGAGCCCCCGUUUUCUCAGUCAGGAUUUCGGCUGUACCAGCCCUAAAAAAGUCAGUGACUGUCCUUAGGGGGUGGCUUCCUUUAUGGAGUCCACCAAUGGAAGUAGCCACCGGCCUGCAGCUCUUGUUGGAGAGAAUAUCAACAAGGAGUCAACGGGACCGCCCUUGGCCACCCUGGCCAGAGUCUGGGCCCAUCCUCCUUUCUUAUCUCCUGCAUUAUAAUUCCCUUAUGAAACUGCCCUAACCUUUCAGUGAGGAAAACAGCAUAAACUACCCAACCUAAUGUGCUCAUCGUAGGGAGACUAAAGGGUUGACGUAACAGUAGUUGGGGUAGGUUCCCACUGAAAGGGCACCUGCAUGCUGAGGGCUGCAAGUGGAACCCCGGGCAUGACUGACCAUGCCAGAGCAGAACAUGGCUCAUAGCAAGACCAGAGGCAGUAACAAAGACCCAAGAGGCCGGGAAAGCAAGAGGAUGGACCCAAGGAAGUCAGUCAGGCAGAUUUGCUGCUCUCCCUGCCCCACCUCCAGAGGCUGGAAUCCUGCCCUCCGCAAGGGAAGAGGAGGGGCUGGCAAACAUCUUUUCUGAUGGCAAAUUCUACCUUAUAAAGGAGAACUUGUCUCCUGGGAGGAGGCAUGCACUAAAGACUGGCUCCUGGUGUCCCAACUUGGCAGUCUAGAACAUGCCAAGAAACUAUCUAGAACUAUCUAGAUACUAUCUAUAUAGAGAAUAUCUAGGACUAUCUUCUCUCAGGGAGGCUGGAAAGGGGUUGGGAAAAUUAAACCCAUACCGGGCCCAUGUGGAGGCAGCACCAGAGGAGACCACAGUGAGCGAUGAGAGUGUGGUGAAUGGGGGGUCAUAUCCCCUGCUCCUCUCACUGUGCAGAAGCCUAAGCUGGGCAAAGCAGCUGAAUUCUGGCACCAGCUUCUGCAGCUAAAAUGGACAGGAGGUGCCCUGGAAAAAGCAGGCAAUGUGUCCUCGACCCCCAUGAGAGGGAAUUUUGCACAUCAGCCCCAGUGGGACACACACGACUUUUGUCUAUUAGCUGCACAGUAUUUUUUCUUACCAGUAUGUCGUAAAAUGACUCAAACAUCACUUCCUGAAGGAAAAUUUCCCUGCCUCCUGAAAUAGCUUAGAUAUCCCAGUGAUACGUUCUUAUAGUAUCACUGCGUCUUAUCCAACAUUUCUCCUAAUUUUCAGUUUUUUCAUUUUUUUGAAUAUUUUUAACUAUCUACCUACCCCUCUAGUUUCCUGAGACCGUGUCUAUUUUACUCGUCAUUGGGCUAGAUCAUGUAAGGACGUCAGCUUUUGCUCUGAAUGAGAUGGGAAGCUGUUUGGGGAUUUUGAGCAGAGGAAUGACAUAAGCUGGUUUCCUCCUCUGGCUGCUGUGGGGAGACUAGAGGGCAGGGAUGGAAGCAAGCAUAUAAGUUUAAGAAGUUAUUGCAAUAAUCUAAGUAAGAGACGAUUGUGGCUUUGUCUAGUGCAGUAACGGUGGAGGGGAUGAGAAGUGCUCAGAUUCUGGAUGAAUUCUGAAGUAGUGUGAACAGGAUUUGCCAAUGAUAUGAAUGCAGGGUGUGAGAGAAAGAGAAAAAUCGAGGAUAAGACCAAGGAUUUCAGCCCGAGCAGCUAGUAGAACAGAGUUACCAUUCUACUGGCCGGGAGACGGUAGCUAGUGGGAGAUGGCAGCAGAAAUGAAAUUUGAGCAGGUAAUGGAAAUCAGGAGUUCAAUUUGGGGCGUACUAAGUUGGAGCCUUCUGUUAAAUGGCCAAGUGGAGAUGUCGAAAUGAAGCUGGAGUUGAAAGAGGAGGUCCUAGCGCAGGACAUAAAUUUGGGGGUCAUCUGCCAAUUAAACCCAUGGGACUGAACGAGAUCACUGAGCAAAUGUGAGUAGAAAAGAGAAGAGGUCUGGGGACCAAGUCGUGGGCCCUUGAAUGUUUAGAAGUUGGAAUGUUGAGGAGGAAACAGCAAAAGAAACUGAGAAAAAGUGGCAGUCAGGUAUGAAGAAAACAAAACAAAUAAAAACAGUGACAGUUGAAAGUCAAUGGAAAAAAGUGCUCCUGAGAGAUUGAGUCUAAGACUGAGAAUCAGCGUGACAGAUGGUCAUGGUGACUUUGACAAGAGCAGUGAAGUGGAGCAUACGGAGGGAAGGGGGUUGGGCAGAGAAUGGGGUUCUCCUAGGAAGCCUUCCUUCAUCCUCCUGAUGGGUGGGUCCCCUGCCAUGUGCUCCUGUGGCACCCUGUACUUGUAUCAUAGCACACAUCAUACUUUCCAUAAUCACUGCAACCUUGUGCCUGCAGGAUUCCUUGCAUACAGUGAGGGGCCAGUAAAUAUAUGAAUGUGUAAAAAUGUGUGAACCAAAAAGAGAGGAUAUAAUUGAUGGAAUAAGAUCCCAAGGAGAGCAGAGGGGUGGAUCAAGAACACGGGAUUUGCUCUAAACAGGAGGAGAAAGACUUGUUUUCUCUUAGGCUGGAGGGGAUGAGAGCAGGUGCUGAGUGACCUCACACCAUACGGCUGUGGUCUUCACAGUCAAGUAGAAAACAAGGUUUUCUAAAGAGAAUAAAGGAGGCAGGGUGGCACUCAUUGAUACUGACCCUGAUAUCGGUUCCCCCACGUUAAACCCAACAUAUGUGGAGUUAAAACCAAAACACUCAUUCCCUGCUUACUCCCUGGCUUCCUGGCUCCAGAAUCCACUAUUCCCCUUGGAGACAGACACCACCAAGGACAAGGACCUGGAUUCAUUAUCUCCUCCCC